GCCUGGGUGGCUCAGUCAGUUAAGCAUCUGACUUUGGCUCAGAUCAUGAUCAUACAGUUUGUGGGUUCGAGCCCCACAUCAGGUU
rnacentral:tRNA from 1 species